rnacentral:rRNA from 1 species
UGGGGAAUCUUGCGCAAUGGGCGAAAGCCUGACGCAGCAACACCGCGUGAGGGAUGACGGCCUUCGGGUUGUAAACCUCUUUCGACAUCGACGAAGCCUUCGGGUGACGGUAGGUGUAGAAGAAGCACCGGCUAACUACGUGCCAGCAGCCGCGGUAAUACGUAGGGUGCGAGCGUUGUCCGGAAUUAUUGGGCGUAAAGAGCUCGUAGGCGGUUUGUCGCGUCGGCCGUGAAAACCUGCCGCUUAACGGUGGGCGUGCGGUCGAUACGGGCAGACUUGAGUUCGGCAGGGGAGACUGGAAUUCCUGGUGUAGCGGUGAAAUGCGCAGAUAUCAGGAGGAACACCGGUGGCGAAGGCGGGUCUCUGGGCCGAUACUGACGCUGAGGAGCGAAAGCGUGGGGAGCGAACAG